rnacentral:rRNA from 1 species
UACAGAGGCCUCGAGCGUUAGGCGGAAUCACUGGGCUUAAAGCGCGUGUAGGCGGAUCGUUAAGUACCUUGUGAAAUCCCACGGCUCAACCGUGGAACUGCUGGGUAUACUGGCGGUCUUGGGCCAUCUAGGGGUCGCCGGAACAAGCGGUGGAGCGGUGAAAUGCGUAGAUAUCAGGAGGAACACCUAUGGCGAAGGCAGCUCGCUGGGACGGCACUGACGCUGAGACGCGAAAGCGUGGGGAGCAAACAGG